rnacentral:tRNA from 1 species
GGCCGUGUAGCUCAAUGGCAGAGCGUCUGACUACGAUUAACAAGUAUCUAGUGAUACCUGUGUAUGUAAUCAGAAGGUCGCAGGUUCGACCCCUGUCUCGGUCA